rnacentral:rRNA from 1 species
AGAUUAAGUUAUUAAGGGCGCACGGUGGAUGCCUUGGCACUAGAAGCCGAAGAAGGACGUUACUAACGACGAUAUGCUUUGGGUAGCUGUAAGUAAGCGUUUAUCCAGAGAUUUCCGAAUGGGGGAACCCAACAUGAGUUAUGUCAUGUUAUCGACAUGUGAAUUCAUAGCAUGUCAGAAGGCAGACCCGGAGAACUGAAACAUCUUAGUACCCGGAGGAAGAGAAAGAA